UUGUGCCAAGCAGCCGCGGUAAUUCCAGCUCCAAUAGCGUAUAUUAAAGUUGUUGCGGUUAAAAAGCUCGUAGUUGGAUCUCGGCGGGCAGGGGGUGGUUCGCUCUUCAGCGCUACUGCCCCGCUUUGCCCGUGUGAUUGGCGGAGGUUUCGGGGUGCUCUUCGUUGAGUGACUCGGAGCGCCGUCAGGUUUACUUUGAAAAAAUUAGAGUGCUCAAAGCAGGCUUUUCACGCUUGAAUAUUCGUGCAUGGAAUAAUGGAAUAGGAACUCGUUUCUAUUUUGUUGGUUUUCGGAAAUCGAGUUAAUGAUUAACAGGGACAAUUGGGGGCAUUAGUAUUCAGACGACAGAGGUGAAAUUCUUGGACCGUCUGAAGACUGACUACUGCGAAAGCAUUUGCCAAGAGUGUUUUCAUUAAUCAAGAACGAAAGUUAGAGGUUCGAAGGCGAUCAGAUACCGCCCUAGUUCUAACCAUAAACGAUGCCAGCUAGCGAUCUGCCGAGUUUUUUUUGUAGGCUCCGCAGGAAGCUUUCGGGAAACCAAAGCUUUUGGGUUCCGGGGGAAGUAUGGUUGCAAAGCUGAAACUUAAAGGAAUUGACGGAAGGGCACCACCAGGAGUGGAGCCUGCGGCUUAAUUUGACUCAACACGGGAAAUCUCACCAGGCCCGGACACUGGAAGGAUUGACAGAUUGAGAGCUCUUUCUCGAUUCGGUGGGUGGUGGUGCAUGGCCGUUCUUAGUUGGUGGAGUGAUUUGUCUGGUUAAUUCCGAUAACGAACGAGACUCUGUCCUGCUAAAUAGUUGGGUCGUCCUUCGUGCGAUCCAAGUUCUUCUUAGAGGGACUGGCUGCGUCUAGCAGCACGAGAUUGAGCAAUAA
rnacentral:rRNA from 1 species